rnacentral:rRNA from 1 species
UACGGAGGGGGCUAGCGUUGUUCGGAAUUACUGGGCGUAAAGCGCACGUAGGCGGCUUUGCAAGUUAGAGGUGAAAGCCCGGGGCUCAACUCCGGAAUUGCCUUUAAAACUGCAUCGCUAGAAUUGUGGAGAGGUAAGGGGAAUUCCGAGUGUAGAGGUGAAAUUCGUAGAUAUUCGGAAGAACACCAGUGGCGAAGGCGACUUACUGGACACAUAUUGACGCUGAGGUGCGAAAGCGUGGGGAGCAAACAGG